AGAGUUUGAUCCUGGCUCAGGAUGAACGCUGGCGGCGUGCUUAACACAUGCAAGUCGAACGAUGAAGCCCAGCUUGCUGGGUGGAUUAGUGGCGAACGGGUGAGUAACACGUGAGUAACCUGCCCCUGACUCUGGGAUAAGCCCGGGAAACUGGGUCUAAUACCGGAUAUGACCAUGGGACGCAUGUCUUGUGGUGGAAAGAUUUAUCGGUUGGGGAUGGACUCGCGGCCUAUCAGCUUGUUGGUGAGGUAAUGGCUCACCAAGGCGACGACGGGUAGCCGGCCUGAGAGGGUGACCGGCCACACUGGGACUGAGACACGGCCCAGACUCCUACGGGAGGCAGCAGUGGGGAAUAUUGCACAAUGGGCGCAAGCCUGAUGCAGCGACGCCGCGUGAGGGAUGACGGCCUUCGGGUUGUAAACCUCUUUCAGUAGGGAAGAAGCGAGAGUGACGGUACCUGCAGAAGAAGCGCCGGCUAACUACGUGCCAGCAGCCGCGGUAAUACGUAGGGCGCAAGCGUUAUCCGGAUUUAUUGGGCGUAAAGAGCUCGUAGGCGGUUUGUCGCGUCUGCCGUGAAAGUCCGAGGCUCAACCUCGGAUCUGCGGUGGGUACGGGCAGACUAGAGUGAUGUAGGGGAGACUGGAAUUCCCUGGUGUAGCGGUGAAAUGCGCAGAUAUCAGGAGGAACACCGAUGGCGAAGGCAGGUCUCUGGGCAUUUACUGACGCUGAGGAGCGAAAGCAUGGGGAGCGAACAGGAUUAGAUACCCUGGUAGUCCAUGCCGUAAACGUUGGGCACUAGGUGUGAGGGACAUUCCACGUUUUCCGCGCCGUAGCUAACGCAUUAAGUGCCCCGCCUGGGGAGUACGGCCGCAAGGCUAAAACUCAAAGGAAUUGACGGGGGCCCGCGCAAGCGGCGGAGCAUGUGGAUUAAUUCGAUGCAACGCGAAGAACCUUACCUGGGUUUGACAUAUACCGGAAAGCCGUAGAGAUACGGCCCCCCUUGUGGUCGGUAUACAGGUGGUGCAUGGCUGUCGUCAGCUCGUGUCGUGAGAUGUUGGGUUAAGUCCCGCAACGAGCGCAACCCUUGUCCUGCGUUGCCAGCGCGUAAUGGCGGGGACUCGCAGGAGACUGCCGGGGUCGACUCGGAGGAAGGUGGGGACGACGUCAAGUCAUCAUGCCCCUUAUGUCCAGGGCUUCACACAUGCUACAAUGGCCGGUACAGAGGGCUGCGAUACCGUGAGGUGGAGCGAAUCCCUUAAAGCCGGUCUCAGUUCGGAUCGGGGUCUGCAACUCGACCCCGUGAAGUCGGAGUCGCUAGUAAUCGCAGAUCAGCAACGCUGCGGUGAAUACGUUCCCGGGCCUUGCACACACCGCCCGUCAAG
rnacentral:rRNA from 1 species